CUUCGUCUAUGUAUUUAUUCAUAGCCUCAUUUUUGGGGAUAGACAGUGGAUAGAUUUAGGAGGCGACACGCCUGGUAGGAGGUCAAUCGCACAGUCCCACGGGCGAUAUGAAGGGGAAUUGGGUGAAAUGCCCAGUUGCAUAGAUUUGGGGUCAAGGAGGUACUAUACGUGACGAGUACCUAGGAGGUUUGGUUGCUAGGGUCCUUCGCCAGUCAGCUACCAGAUUGUCAGUGGCGAUGGUCAUGCGGAUGUAUUCGCUCAGAUCUCCUCUAGAGCAGAGAUGUUUUGGGGCUGUGCCUGGGCAACAUGGACUUUCAACUCCCUCCAAAAAUUUUCUAUGGGGUUGAGAUCUGGUGACCUCCACCCCAUCCCUCUGGAUCAGUAUACCUGGACUGUGUUGAAGACGCUUCCUAAAGACAUUCUGGCUUUGUGGCUGAUCAAUCAGAUGACCGGAAGACCUCCCAUGUCUGGAGUACCCUCCCAAACCCAGGGGCAAUGGCAAAAUAAAUUUCUGAACACAUCUCACUCUAGAUCCCAGUACCAACCCAACUCAGUACCUGCUACCUUCCAACCAAACUCCAGCCAAAGAGAGGACAAGGACAGUUUUAUGGUCCCCAGGUCACCAACAACAUUGGGCUAUGGCAAAAUCAAGUCCCCUCUCAACAGGAUGAGCAGCAAAUGGAUGUUGAUGUUGUGGAAGUGAAACACAGCAACCAAUCUGGAGGUAUUGGCCUUGCAACAGUCUGUCCCAGCCAAUCAGCAGCUGCUAAAACAGUCUUGCCUCCUCAAUCACCAACCUCCAAGAAAACCUUCCAGCUUAAGGAACCAGAAGCUGGUACCAAGUCAACAGUCUUACCCAGCAAAUCAGUAGCUACUAUGAAGAUAAUCUGGGAUAGCCAAUCAGCAGCUAGUACCAAGAUAACAGUCAGGCCUAGCUAAUCAGCAGCCAGUACCAAGAAAACAGUCAGGCCUAGCUAAUCAGCAGCUAGUACCAAGAAAACAGUGAGGCCUAGCCAAUCAGUUUCUAGGCUCAACAACAUUGGGCGAUGGCCCUGUCACCAGAAUGAGCCGCCAGUGGAUAUUGAUGUUGCUGAAGUGAAACAAACCAACCAAUCAGCAGGGACUAGCCUUCCAACCAUCUGUCCCAGCCACUCAGUAGCUGCUAAAACAGUCUGGUUUGGCCAAUCAGCAACCUCCAGGAUGAGAGUCCAGUUUAAAGAUCCUAAGAAGACAACAGUCUUACCCAGGAAAUCAAGUCAUUUAGCCAACAGAAUGCUGCACAAUUUGGGCCAUCCAGACAGACAGCAACUAUAAAGCAUCUACCAGCCAGGCAGCCACAAGGCAAUUAUCCUUAACCCGAACAGCAGUCUCCAACAGCCAGUCAGCAACCAGCACUAAGAGACAUGGUGGCAAAGUGAGAAGCAGCAGCCCUCCCCAGGAGAAUGAUUCCAAGAGAGGGAAGAUGUAGAGCAGAGAAACACAGGCUCAGAGGGGAGUGUCACAGCUAAUAUACUCAGUCCAACAUAGUGACAUUAAUGUGGAGAUCACAGUAAAGGAAGUCUUUUUAAAAAAUAACAUAUGCUAUUUAGAAAAUAAACUUCUGAAAUUGUAACAAAUGUGCAGAUCAACAGUUGUGCUCAAAAGAUUGCAAACCCUUGGAAAAUUGGUAAUAUUGGAAUAUGAGGAAGGCACUUUCUAACUUUUCUCAGUCUCCUCCAGUUUAAAAUUUUAUGAGGAGAUGAGGUCCUGGUCCACACCUGCGGAGUAUCUGGUUUGGGGGGCCCAUUGCUGUCCCUGUCCUUGUCCACCUGGUCAUACUUUUUACCUAGUCUAAAAUCAAAUAGACUCAAAGUGUUCCAUCCAUCGCCCAAUUACCUCCUCAGUUGAGGUCAACAGUGUCCCAUCCUUACUCUACACAGCUUGGAUAGUUCCCCGUUUUCCACUCCUGAGGUGGCGGACGGUUUUCCAGAAACACCUUGGUCCUGACCGAAAGUCAUUCUCCAUGGCUUCCUCAAACUCCUCCCACACCCGCUGUUUUGCCUCUUUCACAGCAGAGGUCGCAGCCCUUCGGGUCUGUCGGUACACUGCAACCGUCUCCGGAGUCCUCCGGGAUAACAUAUCCCGGAAGGCCUCCUUCAGUCGGACGGCUUCCCUGACCACCGGUGUCCACCAGGGUGUUCGAGGGUUACCGCCCCUUGAUGCACCUAUAGAUAAUCCAUGACUAGCACAGAACUCUAACAACAAACGACCACUCGAGUUCAGAUCAGGGAGGCUGUUCCUCCCUAUCACGCCUCUCCCGGUGUCUCCAUCAUUGCCCACGUGUGCAUUUAAGUCCCCAAGCAGAAUUAUGGAGUCCCCUACUGGAGCCCCAUAAAGGACUCCAUUCAGGGUCACCAAGAAGGCCAAGUAGUCUGAACUGCUGUUCUGGGCAUAUGCACAAACAACAGUCAGAGACCCCCCCCCCCCC
ensembl:lncRNA